UUGUGGAGGAGGACGCCGAAGGUGGGGCUAAUGACUGGGGUGAAGUCGUAACAAGGUAGCCGUACCGGAAGGUGCGGCUGGAUCACCUCCUAACAGGGAGACAACAAAAUGUAUAUAUUAAUUUUGUCACCUUAGGUCGAUCGGUAUCUCAGAUUCUUAAUUAGUUUAAGAAUUUCAAUUCCUAAGUUUUUUCUAGGUCACACCCAUUACUUUUCCUGGGCCAUUAGCUCAGGUGGUUAGAGCGCACCCCUGAUAAGGGUGAGGUCCCUGGUUCAAGUCCAGGAUGGCCCAUAUCUCUAUGUUGGGGGUAUAGCUCAGUUGGUAGAGCGCCUGCUUUGCAAGCAGGAUGUCAGCGGUUCGAGUCCGCUUACCUCCACUGAUUACCACCUCUUUCAUAUUUGUGAAAGGAAUUAGUAAUUGAUGUGAUUUAAUCUGAACGACUCUAGCUUCCUAAUAAAUUUAUUAAGAUGCUGGACUCAGUGAAUUUUUUCAUUGUUUUCAGAGAACCUUGACAACUGCAUAGAUUUUUAAAGACAAUAAGCAUCUUUUAAAGAUGCAGAUUUUUUAUUUGUGCUAUAAGCAUUAAAUAACAAUUCUAUUGAGCUGAUGCUUCAAAUUUUGAAGUUAUUGGUCAAGCUACAA
rnacentral:misc_RNA from 1 species